rnacentral:lncRNA from 1 species
GCGUGGCCUCUUCAGGUUGUGUGUGUGGUGGCCUGGCAUUCAAUCUGUGAGGUGGAUGCGUGUUGGAAGGACCCCUUUUGGUUUCUUUUUGCUCAGAGCUUUCUUUUAAUAAAUUCCGCUCUCCUCACCUUUCAAUGUGUCCGUAUGCCUAAUUUUUCCUGGUCCUGUGACAAGAACCUGAUUUUAGCUGAACUAAGGAGCGAAAGAUCCUGGAUCAUUUUGGUGACCCAUACUGGUACAUGAGGAAAGCUCCUAUUCCAGAUUCUCAGAGUAUAGAUUCUGACUGGAUUACCCUGGUCCUUGAAGUAUACCUAGGAGAUGGAAUAACAUUGUAUAAGCAUCCACGUUGUCAUUAAGAGGAAAGAGUUUCCAUUAAAACAGCAGGUCACAAAACCCUCCUGUGAGAGGAACCCUCUGUGGAAGAACAGAAUAUGUCACCCCAAAAUAUGAAGAAUUGUUGAGCUGAAGAUGAUUAAGAAGAAGCGGAUGCAGGAAAGCUCUCUGCUCUCCCUCUAUUUGCUUAAAAGCAGGAUAAACACUUACAAAGACUAAAGGGGUCCAUUCCAACUAAGAAACUAUGGGGGACCAGGCAUGGUGGCUCACGCCUAUAAUCCCAGCACUUUGGGAGGCCAAGGCCGGCAGAUCACGAGGUCAGGAGAUCGAGACCAUCCUGGCCAACAUGGUGAAACCCCAUCUCUAUUUAAAAAAUACAAAAAAUUAACUGGGUGUGGUGGCAUGCACCUGUAGUCCCAGCUACUUGGGAGUCUGAAGCAGGGGAAUCACUUGAACCCAGAAGGUGAAGGCUGCAGCAAGCCGAGAUCGCACCACUGCACUCCAGCCUGGUUCCCCCUUCACCUCCCUAUAUUCUAAGGAAAGAAUCAUUCUUAUUUGUGAAGACAAAAGGACACAGAGGGAAAUAUGAACUAAAUUUUUGCUGUGUCCUCCACUUUACUACCCUUAGCUCAUACCCCCUUUGUCUUAUAUUUCUUUGUGACUCUCCACUCUUCAUCAAAUACAGUGUUAAAAACACUCAGGUUUAAUCACUUAUUUGGGUCUUCAUUUCCUUAUUAAAGCUCUCACGGCAUGUAAAGCUUAUAUUUUUAAAAUGUGUAUGCUUCUCUUUUGUCUUUUAUAUGCUUUUCUCUGUCUUCUGUUACAGACGCCACAAUCAAGAACUCAGAAGGGUAGAAGAAAAAGAUAGUUUCCCUUCCCUACACAGGGUCCAUGCAUUCAGUGGAGUAAUGAUUCCUGUCCAUGAAAAAAAAAAAAGAAAGUAGAAAAUUUCAGAGAAGAGAAAAAUUUUCCACUUGGGAGCAAGGGCAUGAGGGCAGCGGGGAAGUGGUAGAUAUACUGACAUGUUAAUAUAUUAGGUCUUGUAUUUCUUUUGUACAUAGUCUUUCUUCUUUGACUGCCUCGUUCAUGCAUCUCCACUACUUGAAAAAUUAUUUAAUUUACAAGCAUGUGCCAAAGUCCUACAUCAUGCUUCCUCUAAGAUUCUAUGCAAGCCAAUUCAAAGAUUUCUCUCUUAAAAAUAUUUGUAUGAAAAAAAGACAUGGCUAGGAAAUCACUGUUCAGUAGGAUAAAAUAAAAGUGC